rnacentral:lncRNA from 1 species
GAGGCGCCUCGAGCCCCUCGAGGACCGAAGGAUAGCGAGCCUGAGAACACCUACGCCCCCGGGCUAUGGAAACUCUACUCACUCCCUCACCCUCGAGGCGAUCGAAGCUGUCUUUUACGAAAAAUCGAACAAGGAACACAUGUGUAAGCGCAAAAAGAAAUAAAAGAACCUCGAGUGGAAAGACAAACAAACAUUUAACAACCACGAAAAUACUGUAUCGCUUAGAAACAGGAUUAACUAAAUUUUAUACAAGGGGCCCCAGGCACCCCGAGCAGGCUCGCAGGCCUCAGU